rnacentral:rRNA from 1 species
UCAUUCACAAUGGGCGAAAGCCUGAUGGUGCGACGCCGCGUGAGGGAUGAAGGCCUUCGGGUUGUAAACCUCUGUCACCGGGGAAGAAACACUUCAAGUUAAUAGUUUGAAGUCUGACUUAACCCGGAGAGGAAGCAGUGGCUAACUCUGUGCCAGCAGCCGCGGUAAUACAGAGACUGCAAGCGUUAUUCGGAUUCACUGGGCGUAAAGGGUGCGCAGGCGGCCGUGUGUGGGAGGCGUGAAAGCCCGAUGCUCAACAUCGGAAUUGCACCUCAAACUACAUGGCUAGAGCAUUGGAGAGGGAAGCGGAAUUCACGGUGUAGCAGUGAAAUGCGUAGAUAUCGUGAGGAACACCAGAGGCGAAGGCGGCUUCCUGGACAAUUGCUGACGCUCAGGCACGAAAGCGUGGGGAGCAAAAGG